GCAAUGGGGGCGCGGCCGAAGGUGGGUUCGAUAAUUGGGGUGAAGUCGUAACAAGGUAGCCGUAUCGGAAGGUGCGGCUGGAUCACCUCCUUUCUAAGGAGA
rnacentral:rRNA from 1 species